CCUACGGGAGGCAGCAGUGAGGAAUAUUGGACAAUGGGCGCAAGCCUGAUCCAGCCAUGCCGCGUGCAGGAUGACGGUCCUAUGGAUUGUAAACUGCUUUUAUACAGGAAGAAACACCUCUACGUGUAGAGACUUGACGGUACUGUAAGAAUAAGGAUCGGCUAACUCCGUGCCAGCAGCCGCGGUAAUACGGAGGAUCCAAGCGUUAUCCGGAAUCAUUGGGUUUAAAGGGUCCGUAGGCGGUUUAGUAAGUCAGUGGUGAAAGCCCAUCGCUCAACGGUGGAACGGCCAUUGAUACUGCUAGACUUGAAUUAUUAGGAAGUAACUAGAAUAUGUAGUGUAGCGGUGAAAUGCUUAGAGAUUACAUGGAAUACCAAUUGCGAAGGCAGGUUACUACUAAUUGAUUGACGCUGAUGGUACGAAAGCGUGGGUAGCGAACAGGAUUAGAUACCCUGGUAGUCCACGCCGUAAACGAUGGAUACUAGCUGUUGGGGGCAACUUCAGUGGCGUAGACGAAGUAGAGUAAGUAGUACCGACCGUCGGGAGGUAACGGUAACGACGUUAGUUAGUAACGUUACGAAAGAAGUUAGACGGCGUGAGACGNGCCGACGGACGACGACGAGGGAGGAGG
rnacentral:rRNA from 1 species